rnacentral:rRNA from 1 species
UCGCCUACGGGAGGCAGCAGUGAGGAAUUUUGCGCAAUGGGGGCAACCCUGACGCAGCAACGCCGCGUGAGUGAUGAAGGCCUUUGGGUCGUAAAACUCUGUCAGCAGGAAAGAAGUUAUAGAGGGUUAAUACCCCUUUAUAUUGACGGUACCUGCAAAGGAAGCACCGGCUAACUCCGUGCCAGCAGCCGCGGUAACACGGAGGGUGCAAGCGUUAUUCGGAAUUAUUGGGCGUAAAGGGCGCGUAGGCGGGCGAUCAGGUCAGAUGUGAAAGCCCGGGGCUUAACCCCGGAAGUGCAUUUGAAACCGGUUGGCUUGAGUAUGGGAGAGGAGAGCGGAAUUCCUGGUGUAGAGGUGAAAUUCGUAGAUAUCAGGAGGAACACCGGUGGCGAAGGCGGCUCUCUGGACCAAUACUGACGCUGAGGCGCGAAGGCGUGGGUAGCAAACAGGAUUAGAUACCCGGGUAGUC